rnacentral:rRNA from 1 species
CAGUAGCCGCGGGAAUACGUAGGUGGCAAGCGUUGUCCGGAAUUAUUGGGCGUAAAGGGCUCGCAGGCGGUUUCUUAAGUCUGAUGUGAAAGCCCCCGGCUCAACCGGGGAGGGUCAUUGGAAACUGGGAAACUUGAGUGCAGAAGAGGAGAGUGGAAUUCCACGUGUAGCGGUGAAAUGCGUAGAGAUGUGAAGGAACACCAGUGGCGAAGGCGACUCUCUGGUCUGUAACUGACGCUGAGGAGCAAAAGCGUGGGGAGCGAACAGGAUUAGAUACCCCAGUAGUCCCUGUCUCUUAUAC